rnacentral:rRNA from 1 species
CACGUAGGGGGCAAGCGUUGUCCGGAUUUAUUGGGCGUAAAGAGCUCGUAGGCGGCUCAGUAAGUCAGGUGUGAAACCUCCAGGCUCAACCUGGAGACGCCACCUGAUACUGCUAUGGCUAGAGUCCGGUAGGGGACCACGGAAUUCCUGGUGUAGCGGUGAAAUGCGCAGGAUAAUCGAGGAGAACACCGGUGGCGAAGGCGGUGGUCUGGGCCGG